GUCCCUUGGGGGACGUCCAAUAAAAUUGGAAUGAUACAAAGAAGAUUAGCAUGAUUCAUGCACAAUAAUGACAUACGUAAAUCGAAAAAUGAUUCAAUUUUUU